CGUCACAAUAGGCGCGGAAAACUCAGGUUCCCCAGAAGAAGCGAUUUACUUGCCCAAUAUCACAAUGCUGGGGGUAGAGGAACAGAGAGGAACCUGAAAUGAGGGUUGGAGAAAAUGUAAUGUUUGCCUAUGGAUAUGUUCCUACGUAGGACAACCGGGCAAACCAUGUGUGUUUCAGGGUCUGGCAUCAGAACCUGGGGAGAAGGUCACUACAAAACACUGGAAAAGUUUGCCAACCUCUGAUAUGAGAUCCUGAAUGAAGAGCACUUUAGAACAAUGCCUGGCACAGGGUGUUUAGUAAACUCUGUUAUUAUUAAUAUGUGGGUAUUUAUAAACUCUUCU